GUGACAGCGGCGGAGCAGAAGGCAUAAUCCCUGACUGUUGCACAUUGCAGGUGCAACGUGCUGGCGCGACGCAGCACGCUAUGCAACUCCUGCUGGGCAGAUGGAACUGCGCUCUGGCAACUACUGGGCGUCUCACAAUGCUGGCAUGACGAAGAGUGUCGCCAAUGGUGUUGAAGGCGUCGGCGCUCAUUUGCGCUGGAGGCUGACCGAAGAGGAAAGCAUCGAAUUGUGAAGACUCCAGAACGACACCUACAGCCAUGGCAUCCUCAUGCAUCGGAUCCGCCCGACGCUUCACACCUACAACUGACCGAUCUGCGACGUGCUCUACACAUUGGCGCGUCUACUACUCGAAUACCCGUGACACCACGAAGACGCCGGUACCAAGCCUGCAAUGACCGAAGACGUGAAUCUCUUCUCCGAGACGACGUGGGAGGCCCCCUCCCGGACUUGGACGACUAACGACGACUUAUCGCCAGAGUCCAGGAGGCGAUUGCGGCCAAAGGGUUCCUGGAAUGAGGUACCCUCUCCCCUCGGGUGACCCCGACCUCAA